UGUGGGUCACCAUCUCCCAUGGUAAAGACAACAAGCCACUGGCCUCAGCAGAAGCUGAGGGGCUAACCUCUGAUGAGAAUUGGGGACCAGCAGGCAGAAGACUGGAAGGAAUAUAUAGAUCAACCUGACUUGCUUAUGUAUCCCAUAUCCUUGUGCAACAUCAACAGCCAGUGUGAAAGAAGGCCUUACCCCUGCAGGUCAGGCCCAGAAGCUUCAAUACUGGGAGCUUUCAGCGGGUCAGGAGACGGUCCACCCUGGUCACCGUUUGUCCCUGCCUCCGAUUCAUACAGGAAUAUCAACUGUUGUCAAGACGAACUCCUGGAUGAACUUCAAGAACAUCCUAAACACCACUUCCGUUUCCGGUCUCCCUUCGCUCAAAUCGUCAUAUCAUAUUUAACUGUAAGACUCCUUUUUAUUGUUAUGAUUGUAAUAAAAAUGUUUUAUUAAGAAUACCAAGAAUA